GUGGCUACUGUAGCUCCCUGUCGUGCCUUCAGCACGGUAGACGAGCCCGUUCCGUGCCAACCAUAGCCGCCGCCACUUCACCUUCCUCCCCUCGCCGCUCCAUGUCGGCGCCGGCGGCGCUGGCCCUGAACCACCCCCUGUCGGGCCCCUCCACAUAUAUACUGCCCCUGACCCCUACCCGUCUACCCCACUCCACGCCCCUCCCCAUUCAGAUCGGCCCCUCGAGCUAUUGCAAUCCAGUCAUACCCGUCGAUUUGAGGCGGCAGCGGUGGCCGUGGGACCAACUGCCAGAUUUGUACGUCCCUGUCGUCGCUGGCGGCGUGCAUUGAUCCAGCUCCAUCUGGCGGCGAGCUGAGGUGAGGUACAGGAGGUGGCAACACCGCCACAGAUCCAGAGUACAUCGGCGACCCUUGUGGCUCGGUCCAAUUGUCCGUCAGCUGCGCCACCGUCGGUCCCCUCGUUGUCGCGGUCGUCUUCUCCAUCCGUGGUGCGCAGCCUCCUCUACGCCCCGCUGUUCACCUUCUCCGGCCGGAAAGAGUCAAUUCUGUAGGUACAUUUUACUGCAGUGUCCAAUGUUUCUGCAUGCACAUAAUGGUGAUGGAUCCCACAUCGGUCAGUGCAUCUAAUGGUAUUUGUACAGCUAAAAACAUUUUUUACUUGGUGAUGAUAUCUCCACUGUCCUUGCCAGCAUAAUUUUGGAUAUCUCACAUGGACCAGAAACAUUUUUUACUUGGUGAUGUUAUCUGCACUGCCCUUUCGUGCACAUGCCUUUUAUGUUAUGCAUACACUUUACUCAAACAUCUAUUUGCCCUUAUGUUCGGCUAGGGCUCAGUUUGUAUUUGUGAAGUAUAAUGUUUUCUGGAAGUAAGCUUGACUGAAAAUACACAUAAUUCAAUGCUUGUUCUUCUAACUAAAAAUUCAGUCCAUGAUUCUGGUCCUAUACUUACUGAAAUGAUUACUAUUAAAGUCACAAAGCUUUCAAAUUCAAGAAUAAGGAGAGUACUUUCUGUUUUCUUUCCGCCAUUUUCUUUUCAUAUAAAUAUGACUUUUAUUGUUUAUAGUUAAUGGGCUUGUUUUAGCUGUGCAGUUUUCAACCUAUAUGUUUUUUGGUUAAUGGAUAAUAAACUUUCAUGUAGCUAUCGACUGCCCACACAUGUAGCUGUACAGUUUAAUCUUGAGAUACAUCAUACAUGCAAUUAUUUAUUUCUCUCUGUCUUGUUCUAUAGGUACCUAAAAUACUUGACGAAGAUGCAAAAUGAUAAACAAGCCGCUUGAAGUUCCAUGUGGUGUGUCUAAUCUUAAUUUUUUGUGACAAUUAAACUGAUAGUAUUUUGUACGAUGGAUCAAAACUCAUAGUGCUCUAAUUCAUGUGCAAUGAUAUAAUUGCAAUGUACUUAACUCCUCCACAAGGACUUGAAAAGGCAAAGAUAUUGAAAAAUCUAGCAAGAAUUACUUGGGUAAUUACUUAAGCCAUGCAAUAAAUUAAAUUUGUACUUCUCUGCAUCAUGUAUAAUGUUUGUUAGUGAUGCCAUUGGUUUUAGCAUAUAUACUUUGUUAUUCUCGUUUGUAGGCAUUGUAAAAUUCCAGAACUUAGGGAAAAAUCGUAUGUGCUAUGCAUUUUUGUGUCUUUCCAGAGUCGAAAGAGAAAAGUAGAAUUGUAUCUCUUCUUAUUGCCUAAUAAAAGGGAAUGUAGCUGCUUGAUAUAUCGGGAAAAGGGAGUUAUCCACUUUAUGUAUUACUGGAUGUCGCUUUAAGUUCUAGCAUUUUUACCUUUCUGUAUUGUUGAAAUAGUGUUCCUUAGUUGACAUAUUUCAGGACCUUCAUCAACGACGGCAAUCACUACUACAUUCUCACACUACAGUACAUAUUCAGUCAUAAUUAUUUUAUAAUAGUUUAGAUAUACUUCCCUGAAAUAUUCUGCGGACCAUCGUUGGCUGUAUAGCUCUUUUGUUCAGAAUUACUCACAGCCUGGUUUGUUAUUUCUUGCAUUACUGGUAGAGAUCAGAUUGCCAUAGACCAUCAUAUAAGUUCUAUGUUUGAUGGAUUUGCUCUUAUCCAAUUCUAAAUAUAAUAAUCAAAAUUUGCAUUUGUUUCAUGUAGGAUCUGUUAUGAAAAUCCAGUGGUAGUGGUUAUAGUUUAGUAAAUUACGUUAAGUGCAAUGUAACUUCGGAAGUAUCUCCACCUUGAACAUUUCAUUUAAUUCUUGUUUUCUCUACCAUUCCGAAUUAACUGAAUUUGACAAAUUUUAAAGGAAGCUAUAUCAACAUCUUCACUACAGAAUUAGUUUCAUUAGAUUCGUCACAAAAUAUAUUUUUGUAAUAUAGAGUCCACUUGCUGUUCUUGAUACUUUAGUGUAUCUAUUAGGAAGUUUGUUACAGGUUUCGAGAGCAUAUUGUAACAGAAGCAUAUUGUUUUUUACAGGUUUCCUUGGUGGUGAGAGGCGCUUAGGAAGUUUGAGCUACGGAGGUGAACUUGAUGAUUAAGAGGGUCUGUACAGCGUUCCAUAUUUGUAAUCUAAUGUAAUUGUUAUUCAGGGCAUGUGAACUGAUGUUGGAUGUGUACUUGGGCACAUUUUAGAAGGCCUUUACUUAGUGAAAUAAUUGGAUAGAAAUUUGUGAAAUGGCCAAACAAUGGACAUGUUCAAUGGAAAUUAAUUGUGUUGCGAAAGCUUGUUUGAUUAUGUU